GUUUCGCACAUCGAUCCAUGGGAUCUCUCGUGGGGGUCUCUCGUAGGGGUUCGAGGGGUUUCUCACAACGAUUCCGGGGGUCUCUUGUGGGGGUCUGUUGAGCAUCCUAGAGAGGUUUCUCUGGACGAUUCAGGUGGAUAUUUCGCGACGGUUUAAGGGGCUUCUCACACCGAUUCCGGAGGUCCUUCCCGGGUGUUGCAAGGGUUUCUUGAAAGAGUUAUUUUUUGGAGUGAUGGCGUUGACAAGUGACGAGAAAAACUGUAUAGCAGGCCAUCUAGCGAGAGUAUAGUUGUACUAUUUGGCGAGCAGCUUGGCCGUUAGAUUUGGCUAUACUAUUUCUAGAGUAGCUUGAGGGUUUUAGCAUAGAUGGCGCUGAUUGCGCGGCUAUUCCAGGGAAUUUAAAAUUCUGCAGUUUGGCGUGCUGGAGUGUGCAGGAAUCUUCUAGAACUUCAACAAGGAUUCAAUGGGAGUUUAUAAUUAAUAAUUAAAUUACUCACAACGCUAUUGUACUACACAUGUCAAUGUUAAGAAAUGGG